rnacentral:rRNA from 1 species
UAGCGGAGGAAAAGAAACUAACUAGGAUUCCCCAAGUAAUGGCGAAUGAAAGGGGAAGAGCUCAGCGCUGAAUCUCUCGGUAUUCAGCCGCUGAGAACUGUAGCGUAUAGGUGUGACUGUCCUGCUAUAUUGCAUUUCCGAAGUCUCUUUGAUAGGGGCCAACAUCCAUAGAGGGUGCGAGACCUGUACGGAAAGUAGUGUAGUUGGUAUGGUUACUCCUUGGAGUCGGGUUGCUUGAAAGUGCAGCCUAAAGCGGGUGAUAAACUUCAUCUAAGGCUAAAUAUCGACGCGAAAUCGAUAGCAAACAAGUACCGUGAGGGAAAGUUGCAAAGAACUUUGAAGAGAGAGUUCAAGAGAACGUGAAAUCGCUGAAGUGGAACCGGAGAGAGUUAACAUAACUUGGUAGCUAUAUCCUCUAUGGUCGCUUAACUGUGGCUUUGGGGGGUGGACGCUACCUGUUGUUGCACUGACUGCGUUGAUCAUGCUUUCCGAACAAUGUAGUGUUGCCCACAUUGUGGUGUCUUGCUUAUUGGAAGGUUUGUCAUGGUUAACGUUAAGCCUUAGUCCCGAGGGAGUCAGUGUGAAAGUUAACCACCUUUCCGACCCGUCUUGAAACACGGACCGAGGAGUGUAAUUUAUACGCGAGUCAAAGGGAGUGGAAUACCCUAUGGCUUAAUGAAAGUAAAGGCCGGUUAACCGGUUGACAUGGGAUCCGAAUGAACUUCUUCGAAACGGAGCACCAUGGCCCUGUCUUGUCUGCUUGCAGAUGGGCAGCGGUAGAGCGUGUAGGUUGCGACCCGAAAGAUGGUGAACUAUGCUUGAGCAGGACGAAGCCAGAGGAAACUCUGGUGGAAGUCCGUAUCGGUUCUGACGUGCAAAUCGAUCGAUAGACUUGGGUAUAGGGGCGAAAGACUAAUCGAACCGUCUAGUAGCUGGUUCCUUCCGA